GAUGAACGCUGGCGGCGUGCUUAACACAUGCAAGUCGAGCGAAGCACUUUUGCGGAUUUCUUCGGAUUGAAGCAAUUGUGACUGAGCGGCGGACGGGUGAGUAACGCGUGGGUAACCUGCCUCAUACAGGGGGAUAACAGUUGGAAACGGCUGCUAAUACCGCAUAAGCGCACAGUACCGCAUGGUACCGUGUGAAAAACUCCGGUGGUAUGAGAUGGACCCGCGUCUGAUUAGGUAGUUGGUGGGGUAACGGCCUACCAAGCCGACGAUCAGUAGCCGACCUGAGAGGGUGACCGGCCACAUUGGGACUGAGACACGGCCCAAACUCCUACGGGAGGCAGCAGUGGGGAAUAUUGCACAAUGGGGGAAACCCUGAUGCAGCGACGCCGCGUGAGCGAUGAAGUAUUUCGGUAUGUAAAGCUCUAUCAGCAGGGAAGAAAAUGACGG
rnacentral:rRNA from 1 species